UACGGAGGAUGCAAGCGUUAUCCGGAAUGAUUGGGCGUAAAGCGUCCGCAGGUGGUAUUUCAAGUCUGCUGUCAAAGAAUUUGGCUUAACCAAAUAAAGGCAGUGGAAACUGAAAAACUAGAGUGCGUUCGGGGUAGAGGGAAUUCCUGGUGUAGCGGUGAAAUGCGUAGAUAUCGGGAGGAACACCAAUGGCGAAAGCAGCUUUCUGGUCUGUUUCUGACGCUGAGGUACGAAGGCUAGGGGAGCAAACAGG
rnacentral:rRNA from 1 species